AAGUUAUUACUUUCUCUACCAUAAAAAGGUUUUAGAAGUAACUUUUAGGGUUGUUUUCUGUAGCACAAUGCUGUGCGAUUUUUAUCCAUGAUCAGUUUGAGUUGUUGUCCUGAUUCAUUCUUUCAGACCUAGCCUAAAAUCUUUUUCUGGAGAUAUGCGCGUGUUUUUCGGCUAUUUUCUUUCAUUGCACCAGGGAAUUAUCAAAAAAUGAAUGACCAGGAUAUGAUUACUGAAUGCUCCAAUGACGUCUUGGCUCUGUUUGCCGAAUCUCUGCAUAUAUUUACAGGAUAUGUAUGCGGGGGUUUUCUGGAAUCAUAGCAGCAGCCCUUCUGUAUGAGUUUAACCUAAAGCCUAUGCUUCUAACUCGACAAUAAGUUUGUAGUGAUUAUUAUUAGUUUGUGUCAUAGCAUGUUGGUUGAAAUGACCAAAUACUGCACUGAGAAUACUAACAGCAAUAUUCAAUAACAGUACAGUCAUAUAAGCACACUAUUUGGCAAACAUCAAUGUAAUAUUAGCACUAUUUCAACCAAUGCGUUGUAACUGUUUAACUUUGGGCUAGGGGGCAGUAUUUUGACAUCCGGAUGAAAAGCGUGCCCAAAGUAAGCUGCCUGUUACUCAGACCCAGAAUAUGCUAGUGUAACGGAUGUGAAACGGCUAGCUAGUUAGCGGUGGUGCGCGCGAAAUAGCGUUUCAAUCAGUGACGUCCCCUGCUCUGAGACCUUGAAGUAGUGGUUCCCCUUGCUCUGCAAGGGCCGUGGCUUUUGCGGAGCGAUGGGUAACGAUGCUUCGUGGGUGACUGUUGUUGAUGUGUGCAGAGGGUCCCUGGUUCGCGCCCGGGUAUGGGCGAGGGGACGGUCUAAAUUUAUACUGUUACACUAGGAUAUGCAUAUAAUUGGUAGAUUUGGAUAGAAAACACUCUAGAGAAAAUAAUGUAUGUGAGUAUAACAGAACUGAUAUGGCAGGCGAAACCCCGAGGACACUUUUAUUAUAGCACUUUAAUUAUAAGGCCAAGUCCUCCCAGAUUGCAGUUCCUAGGGUUUCUACUAGAUGUCAACAGUCUUUGGAAAGAGUUUCAGGCUGGUUUGUGGAAAAAAUAUGUACUUUUUCUUGGUGGCUUCCAUUUUGGCUGUAGUGUUUCCAAGCGCAUGGAGGAGAGCGUGUUCUUUGGUAUUUUUCUCAGGCAAAGAAAAUAACAAUUCUCCUUCUUGAAUUUUGUUGUUUAUUUGCGUAUUAGGUUACCUAAAGUUUAUUAGUAACAUUUGUGAUUUGUUUUUUUUUCCUUUUUUAUGGAGGGAAACUGGGUGGAUUAUUGACUGAUGUGCGCCAGCUAAACUGAGUUUGUUAUGGAUAUAAAGAAGGACAAUAUCAAACAAAAGGACCAUUUGUGAUGUAACUGGGACCUUUUGGAGUGCCAACAGAUGAAGAUCAUCAAAGGGCUAUGAUGCCAGAAGACUGUUUGAGGGAGACGACCUGGAUAGGGAGAACAACCAAAGUGACUGUGUCAGCAAGAAGAGAUUGAGAUAAACGUCAGCUUCAAAUGAGAACAACUGUUUGUUGUUUGAAAAACUAAACCAUAACAUACAGUAUGUGUAAAUAAAAGCUGAUUUGGC
ensembl:lncRNA